AAGAGUUUGAUCAUGGCUCAGAUUGAACGCUGGCGGCAGGCCUAACACAUGCAAGUCGAACGGUAACAGGAAGCAGCUUGCUGCUUCGCUGACGAGUGGCGGACGGGUGAGUAAUGUCUGGGAAACUGCCUGAUGGAGGGGGAUAACUACUGGAAACGGUGGCUAAUACCGCAUAACGUCGCAAGACCAAAGAGGGGGACCUUCGGGCCUCUUGCCAUCAGAUGUGCCCAGAUGGGAUUAGCUUGUUGGUGAGGUAACGGCUCACCAAGGCGACGAUCCCUAGCUGGUCUGAGAGGAUGACCAGCCACACUGGAACUGAGACACGGUCCAGACUCCUACGGGAGGCAGCAGUGGGGAAUAUUGCACAAUGGGCGCAAGCCUGAUGCAGCCAUGCCGCGUGUAUGAAGAAGGCCUUCGGGUUGUAAAGUACUUUCAGCGGGGAGGAAGGUGUUGCGGUUAAUAACCGCAGCAAUUGACGUUACCCGCAGAAGAAGCACCGGCUAACUCCGUGCCAGCAGCCGCGGUAAUACGGAGGGUGCAAGCGUUAAUCGGAAUUACUGGGCGUAAAGCGCACGCAGGCGGUCUGUCAAGUCGGAUGUGAAAUCCCCGGGCUCAACCUGGGAACUGCAUUCGAAACUGGCAGGCUUGAGUCUUGUAGAGGGGGGUAGAAUUCCAGGUGUAGCGGUGAAAUGCGUAGAGAUCUGGAGGAAUACCGGUGGCGAAGGCGGCCCCCUGGACAAAGACUGACGCUCAGGUGCGAAAGCGUGGGGAGCAAACAGGAUUAGAUACCCUGGUAGUCCACGCCGUAAACGAUGUCUACUUGGAGGUUGUGCCCUUGAGGCGUGGCUUCCGGAGCUAACGCGUUAAGUAGACCGCCUGGGGAGUACGGCCGCAAGGUUAAAACUCAAAUGAAUUGACGGGGGCCCGCACAAGCGGUGGAGCAUGUGGUUUAAUUCGAUGCAACGCGAAGAACC
rnacentral:rRNA from 2 species